rnacentral:rRNA from 1 species
GGACGAACGCUGGCGGCGUGCUUAACACAUGCAAGUCGAACGGUGAAGGGACYGGUUUUUGCUGGUUCUGGAUGAGUGGCGAACGGGUGAGUAACACGUGAGUAACCUGCCCCCUUCUUCUGGAUAACCGCAUGAAAGUGUGGCUAAUACGGGAUAUUCUGCGCCUGCUGCAUGGUGGGUGUGGGAAAGAUAUUGUUUCGGUGGGGGAUGGGCUCGCGGCCUAUCAGCUUGUUGGUGGGGUGAUGGCCUACCAAGGCGGUGACGGGUAGCCGGCCUGAGAGGGUGGACGGUCACACUGGGACUGAGACACGGCCCAGACUCCUACGGGAGGCAGCAGUGGGGAAUAUUGCACAAUGGGCGCAAGCCUGAUGCAGCGACGCCGCGUGAGGGAUGGAGGCCUUCGGGUUGUAAACCUCUUUCGCCAGUGAAGCAGGCCUGUCCCUUGUGGGUGGGUUGACGGUAGCUGGAUAAGAAGCGCCGGCUAACUAC